rnacentral:rRNA from 1 species
UACGUAGGGCGCAAGCGUUGUCCGGAAUUAUUGGGCGUAAAGAGCUCGUAGGCGGUUUGUCGCGUCGGAUGUGAAAGCCCGGGGCUUAACCCCGGGUCUGCAUUCGAUACGGGCAGACUGGAGUGUGGUAGGGGAGAUCGGAAUUCCUGGUGUAGCGGUGAGAUGCGCAGAUAUCAGGAGGAACACCGGUGGCGAAGGCGGAUCUCUGGGCCUUACCUGACGCUGAGGCGCGAAAGCUAGGGGAGCAAACAGG